CGAGCAGUAGCCCAGAGGUAGUGGGGCUGUGCUGUAGUCCAGAAGCUGUGGGUUCAAAUCCCACAGGCUCCU
rnacentral:tRNA from 1 species